UACAGAGGUCUCAAGCGUUGUUCGGAUUCAUUGGGCGUAAAGGGUGCGUAGGCGGCGCGGUAAGUCGGGUGUGAAAUCUCCGGGCUUAACUCGGAACGGCCAAGUGAAACUGUCAAGCUAGAGUGCAGAAGGGCAAUCGGAAUUCUUGGUGUAGCGGUGAAAUGCGUAGAUAUCAGGAAGAACACCCGUGGCGAAGGCGGCUCUCUGGGACGGUACUGACGCUGAGGCGCGAAAGCGUGGGGAGCAAACAGG
rnacentral:rRNA from 1 species